AAAAUACUAAGUUAAACAAACUCUGGGCCUUCAAAGCCUACAAUGAAAAAAUUUUUUCGUAUUUUA
rnacentral:tRNA from 1 species